rnacentral:rRNA from 1 species
AUGCAAGUCGAACGUGCUCUAGCAAUAGAGCAAGUGGCGAACGGGUGAGUAAUGUAUGGGAAUCUCCCUAUCAAUAGUGGAUAAAUACACUAUACGUUCACAGUAAUGUGAAGAAAGUAUUUUUCGUUGAUAGAAGAGCCCAUAUCAGAUUAGAUAGUUGGUGGGUAAAGGCCUACCAAGUCGAUGAUCUGUAGCUGAUUUGAGAGAAUGAUCAGCCACACUGGGACUGAGACACGGCCCAGACUUC